GACGAACGCUGGCGGCGUGCUUAACACAUGCAAGUCGAACGCUGAAGCUUGGUGCUUGCACUGGGUGGAUGAGUGGCGAACGGGUGGGUAAUACGUGAGUAACCUGCCCUUGACUCUGGGAUAAGCCUGGGAAACUGGGUCUAAUACUGGAUACGACAUGUCACCGCAUGGUGGUGUGUGGAAAGGGUUUUACUGGUUUUGGAUGGGCUCACGGCCUAUCAGCUUGUUGGUGGGGUAAUGGCUCACCAAGGCGACGACGGGUAGCCGGCCUGAGAGGGUGACCGGCCACACUGGGACUGAGACACGGCCCGGACUCCUACGGGAGGCAGCAGUGGGGAAUAUUGCACAAUGGGCGGAAGCCUGAUGCAGCGACGCCGCGUGAGGGAUGACGGCCUUCGGGUUGUAAACCUCUUUCAGCACGGAAGAAGCGAAAGUGACGGUACGUGCAGAAGAAGCGCCGGCUAACUACGUG
rnacentral:rRNA from 1 species